rnacentral:rRNA from 1 species
UCGAGAAUCUUCCGCAAUGCGCGAAAGCGUGACGGAGCAAUGCCGCGUGCCGGAUGAAGGUCUUCGGAUUGUAAACGGCUGUCACUUGGGACGAAAAAAAUGACGGUACCAAGGGAGGAAGCCACGGCUAACUACGUGCCAGCAGCCGCGGUAAUACGUAGGUGGCGAGCGUUGUUCGGAAUUAUUGGGCGUAAAGGGUCCGCAGGUGGCUAUUUAAGUCUGAUGUGAAAUCUCACCGCUCAACGGUGAAACUGCAUUGGAAACUGAAUAGCUAGAGUAUCGGAGAGGUCAUUGGAAUUCUAGGUGUAGCGGUGGAAUGCGUAGAUAUCUAGAGGAACACCAAAAGCGAAGGCAGAUGACUGGACGAUUACUGACACUCAGGGACGAAAGCAUGGGGAGCAAACA